rnacentral:rRNA from 1 species
UACGGGGGAGCAAGCGUUGUUCGGAUUUACUGGGCGUAAAGGGCGCGUAGGCGGCCAGCACAAGUCAGUUGUGAAAUCUCCGAGCUUAACUCGGAAAGGUCAACUGAUACUGUGCGGCUAGAGUGCGGAAGGGGCAACUGGAAUUCUUGGUGUAGCGGUGAAAUGCGUAGAUAUCAAGAGGAACACCUGCGGCGAAGGCGGGUUGCUGGGCCGACACUGACGCUGAGGCACGAAAGCGUGGGGAGCAAACAGG